rfam:Aedes aegypti strain Liverpool supercont1.858 genomic scaffold, whole genome shotgun sequence.
AAACCGGCUCUUUUCAGAGCCACCAUAUUAAUAUCAAGAGAGUCU